rnacentral:tRNA from 1 species
CAAGAUGUAGCUUAAUUUAACCAAAGCACCCGGCUUACACCCGGAAGAUUUC